rnacentral:rRNA from 1 species
AUUGAACGCUAGCGGGAUGCUUUACACAUGCAAGUCGAACGAGUGGCGGACGGGCGAGUAAUAUAUCGGAACGUGCGCAGUAGCGGGGGAUAACUAGUCGAAAGAGUGGCUAAUACUGCACACUAUUGGAUCGGCCGAUAUCGGAUUAGCUAGUUGGUGGGGUAAAGGCGGACCAAGGCAACGAUCCGUAGCAGGUUUGAGAGGACGACCAGCCCCACUGGUACUGAGACACGGCCCAGACUCCUACGGGAGGCAGCAGUAGGGAAUUUUGGACAAUGGGCGAAACCCUGAUCCAGCCAUCCCGCGUGUAUGAGAAGGCCUUCGGGUUGUAAAGUACUUUUGGCAGAGAAGCGGUAUCUGCAGAAUAAGCACCGGCUAACUACGUGCCAGCCGCCGCGGUAAUAC